CACUUGGCAAAGUGCACAGUUGGUGGAAUCUGUGUCCAAUCCGUGGGGCCCUGGGCAGGUUACUUAACCUCUCUGUGCCUUAGUUACUUACCUGUAAAGUGGAGCGAAUAAUAGUCUAACCUCAUAAGUUGUGGCAGAAAAACAAGUUAGUGUACGAAGGCCUGUAGAAGACCGCCCGGCACAUGGAGAGACGCACUGGUAAGGGCCCAUGAAAUGCUUCUACCCGGUGGACUUCAUGCCAGGCCGAUGUGAACCGAAUGCCCCCACCUCGUGAACAUGCCCCCGUGUCUGUUCUCCCGUUUAGACACAAGUUCCAGGCUCCCCGGUCCAGGAGGGGCUUCCUUCCUUUUCCUCCAGCUGCGAAAUGAAGCUGAGUACCACCUGAAAAGGCACAGCUCAGGAAGGAAGCUGCAGCCUCGUGAUCAAGGGGCCUCACGGCGCAGUAAAUCAGCUCCAUGCAGUUUCCAGCGGUGGCAGGGCCCUGGCCGCGGCCGCCGUGCAGGGCAGCAGGUCCUUUGGCUCAGGAAGGGAAACCAGGCGGGAGGCGAACAGGAAGCAUGGAGCAAACCUGAGGUUGGUCUGGGAUAAUGAAGACAUCACUCCACUGGCCUUCAGGAGGCUUGGCGUCCAGGACCAGCUCACGGUCAAUCGGCUACAUGACUCACACUCUAGGUUUUGAGUCCUGUAACAGCAAACAGAGGCACUGGGUUGGCGCACCCCGAAGAUCUCUCCUAGUUCUCAAAUCCUAUGGUUCUUCUCCCCAUUGGUCCUUUCUUCUUUGAGCCGAAAGAUUUUACUAUACAUUUCUAGAAUGAUUUGCUUGAUCUUACUCACUUAAAAGCUUUAAGGACUAAAUAUUUG